rnacentral:rRNA from 1 species
UACAGAGGGUGCAAGCGUUGUUCGGAAUUAUUGGGCGUAAAGCGCGUGUAGGCGGCUUUGCAAGUCGGGUGUGAAAGCCCUCGGCUUAACCGAGGAAGUGCGCCCGAAACUGCAGAGCUUGAGUACCGGAGAGGAUGGCGGAAUUCCCCAAGUAGAGGUGAAAUUCGUAGAGAUGCGGCGGAACACCGAUGGCGAAGGCAGCCCCCUGGGCUGAGAUUGACGCUCAGGCACGAAAGCGUGGGGAGCAAACAGG